rnacentral:rRNA from 1 species
ACUUAAGCAUAUCAAUAAGCGGAGGAAAAGAAACCAACCGGGAUUGCCUUAGUAACGGCGAGUGAAGCGGCAAAAGCUCAAAUUUGAAAUCUGGUACCUUCGGUGCCCGAGUUGUAAUUUGUAGAAGGUAACUUUGGGGCUGGUCCUUGUCUAUGUUCCUUGGAACAGGACGUCAUAGAGGGUGAGAAUCCCGUGUGGCGAGGAUCCCAGUUCUAUGUAAAGUGCUUUCGAAGAGUCGAGUUGUUUGGGAAUGCAGCUCUAAGUGGGUGGUAAAUUCCAUCUAAAGCUAAAUAUUGGCGAGAGACCGAUAGCGAACAAGUACAGUGAUGGAAAGAUGAAAAGAACUUUGAAAAGAGAGUGAAAAAGUACGUGAAAUUGUUGAAAGGGAAGGGCAUUUGAUCAGACAUGGUGUUUUGCGCCCUCUGCUCCUUGUGGGUGGGGGAAUCUCGCAGCUCACUGGGCCAGCAUCAGUUUUGGCGGUAGGAUAAAUCUGCAGGAAUGUAGCUUGCUUCGGCAAGUGUUAUAGCCUGUUGAAAUACUGCCAGCCGGGACUGAGGACUGCGACUUUUAGUCAAGGAUGCUGGCAUAAUGGUUAUAUGCCGCCCGUU